UACAGGGGGGGCAAGCGUUGUUCGGAAUUACUGGGCGUAAAGGGCUCGUAGGUGGCCAACUAAGUCAGACGUGAAAUCCCUCAGCUUAACUGGGGAACUGCGUCUGAUACUGGAUGGCUUGAGUUUGGGAGAGGGAUGCGGAAUUCCAGGUGUAGCGGUGAAAUGCGUAGAUAUCGGGAGGAACACCUGUGGCGAAAGCGGCGCACUGGACCACAACUGACGCUGAGGCGCGAAAGCUAGGGGAGCAAACAGG
rnacentral:rRNA from 1 species